rnacentral:rRNA from 1 species
UACGUAGGGGGCAAGCGUUGUCCGGAAUCAUUGGGCGUAAAGGGCGCGUAGGCGGUGGGGUAAGGCUGGUGUGAAAUCUCGGAGCUCAACUUCGAAAUUGCACUGGAUACUGCUCUGCUAGAGGGCUGGAGAGGAGAUCGGAAUUCACGGUGUAGCAGUGAAAUGCGUAGAUAUCGUGAGGAAGACCAGUGGCGAAGGCGGAUCUCUGGACAGCUCCUGACGCUGAGGCGCGAAGGCUAGGGGAGCAAACGGG